CCAAAUCUUGCUCGUAAUGAAUGAAUUCAAAUUUAUCUAAUGCCAGAUUUGAUAAUCUACAUCUAAAUUAAAAAGAAAGAAUUGAGUCCGUUUUACUUUUAAAAAUGAUAUAAAUCUGUUCAAAAUUCAAACGUAACGUCAAGUGAAUUAGUACGUUGGUGCAUUGUGACGUGUCUUGUGACGUGCAAACCAGGUUAUACAAAUUUAAUUAAAUUUUUCUAUCCAAUCAAAUGCCGCGUUACAACCAGAAUUAAAUUAUUUAACAGUGGUUGAAUUUUAUUACAAAAUUUUGGACAAACUUUGAUUCCCUCAUGAUAUAUGUUGCCUUCAUCACAUGUGUCAGUGUUAAUUGAUAUCUUAUGAGUUUGUAGCAUCAGUAUUUAUGUAUCAUAUUUGUAUUGUCAACGUCGUGUGAACAAACAUAGCAUGUUAUUUUCUAUAGAAAGUUAUAUUAUUGAAGUUAUGCACUUGUUAAGUUUAGAUAUUUCAACACUUUAUUAUUAUAUAGAGAUAAUGUUUUAUAUUUUGAUAUGAUGAAAUUAUUAACAAAGACAGUUUGUUUCUAUUAUUAUUGCUUUGAAUGACUAUAUGUCAUCUUCUUUGUACUUUUAAUAAAAGACAAUUUUAUAUCUUG
rnacentral:sRNA from 1 species